rnacentral:lncRNA from 1 species
GUGCUCAGAGCCCUGGCCCUCACAGGAUCCCCAGUGAAUGUGAAACUGCACCAACCUGUAGACUCCAUCCAGCGCUCCUCCUUGCAGCACUGACUUGUCGGAGGAGUCGUCAAACUCCACGUUGAAGGAGUGCCCGUUGUUGACGAUGGCUUUGGCCGUGCCGGCAUCGUAGCUGAAGCUGAGGGGCUUCAGCGCGGGGUCGUAGCGGGCGGCUUUGGUGCUGAUGGCGAUGGGCGACUGGCGCUCCCCAUUGGCGAUGGGGAAGUGCUCGUGCCAGUGCGCGGGUCCGUUGUGGCUGUCGUACCCCCAGUGAUGGGACAUGGUGCGCCGGCCCGGCUCCGUCGGCUAUCGCAACGCCGUGGCCUCGGCG